rnacentral:rRNA from 1 species
UACGUAGGGGGCAAGCGUUGUCCGGAUUUAUUGGGCGUAAAGAGCGUGUAGGCGGCCUUACAGGUCAGCUGUGAAACUCGAGGCUCAACCUCGAGACGUCGGCGGAAACCAUCUGGCUAGAGUCCGGAAGAGGAGAGUGGAAUUCCUGGUGUAGCGGUGAAAUGCGCAGAUAUCAGGAAGAACACCCGUGGCGAAGGCGGCUCUCUGGGACGGUACUGACGCUGAGACGCGAAAGCGUGGGGAGCGAACAGG